rnacentral:rRNA from 1 species
CCUACGGGAGACAGCAGUGAGGAAUAUUUGUCAAUGGGCGCAAGCCUGAACCAGCCAAGUCGCGUGAGGGAAGACGGUCCUCUGGAUUGUAAACCUCUUUUGUCGGGGAGCAAAGCGCGGUACGAGUACCGCGAAGGAGAGUACCCGAAGCAAAAGCAUCGGCUAACUCCGUUCCAGCCGCCGCGGUAAUACGGAGGAUGCUAGCGUUAUCCGGAUUUAUUGGGUUGAACGGGUGCGUAGGCGGAUUUGUCAGUCAGCGGUAAAAAUGCGGUGCUCAACGUCGUAUCGCCGUUGAAACUGCAGGUCUUGAGUGAGCGAGAAGUAUGCGGAAUGCGUGGUGUAGCGGUGAAAUGCAUAGAUAUAACGAAGAACUCCGAUUGCGAAGGCAGCAUACCGGCGCUCAACUGACGCUGAGGCACGAAAGCGUGGGGAUCGAACAGGAUUAGAUACCCUGGUAGUC